rnacentral:tRNA from 1 species
GCCGGGAUGGCGAAACUGGCAGACGCAGCGGACUUAAAAUCCGCUGGGAGCAAUCCCGUCCGGGUUCGAUUCCCGGUCCCGGCACCA